UGGGGAAUCUUGCACAAUGGGCGAAAGCCUGAUGCAGCGACGCCGCGUGCGGGAUGAAGGCCUUCGGGUUGUAAACCGCUUUCAGCAGGGACGAGGCCGCAAGGUGACGGUACCUGCAGAAGAAGCCCCGGCUAACUACGUGCCAGCAGCCGCGGUAAUACGUAGGGGGCAAGCGUUAUCCGGAUUCAUUGGGCGUAAAGAGCUCGUAGGCGGCCCGUUAGGUCAGGAGUCAAAUUCGGGGGCUCAACCCCCGCGCGCUCCUGAUACCGGCGGGCUUGAGUUUGGUAGGGGAAGGUGGAAUUCCCAGUGUAGCGGUGGAAUGCGCAGAUAUUGGGAAGAACACCGGUGGCGAAGGCGGCCUUCUGGGCCAUAACUGACGCUGAGGAGCGAAAGCUAGGGGAGCGAACAGGAUUAGAUACCCUGGUAGUCCUAGCCGUAAACGAUGGGUACUAGGUGUAGGAGGUAUCGACCCCUUCUGUGCCGGAGUUAACGCAAUAAGUAUCCCGCCUGGGGAGUACGGCCGCAAGGCUG
rnacentral:rRNA from 1 species